AGUGAACGCUGGCGGUAGGCCUAACACAUGCAAGUCGAACGGCAGCACAGUAAGAGCUUGCUCUUACGGGUGGCGAGUGGCGGACGGGUGAGGAAUACAUCGUAAUCUACUUUUUCGUGGGGGAUAACGUAGGGAAACUUACGCUAAUACCGCAUACGACCUACGGUUGAAAGCAGGGGAUCUUCGGACCUUGCGCGAUUGAAUGAGCCGAUGUCGGAUUAGCUAGUUGGCGGGGUAAAGGCCCACCAAGGCGACGAUCCGUAGCUGGUCUGAGAGGAUGAUCAGCCACACUGGAACUGGGACACGGUCCAGACUCCUACGGGAGGCAGCAGUGGGGAAUAUUGGACAAUGGGCGCAAGCCUGAUCCAGCCAUACCGCGUGGGUGAAGAAGGCCUUCGGGUUGUAAAGCCCUUUUGUUGGGAAAGAAAAGCAGCAGGUUAAUACCCCGCUGUUCUGACGGUACCCAAAGAAUAAGCACCGGCUAACUUCGUG
rnacentral:rRNA from 1 species